rnacentral:misc_RNA from 1 species
UUAAGUUCAGCGGGUAGUCUUACCUGAUUUGAGGUCAAAAUUGUCAAGUGUUGUCCGGUGAAGGACGGUUAGAAGCGGGUCUAUGAUGGCGUUCCAAAUCCACGGCGUAGAUAAUUAUCACACCAAUAGAUAAGGGGCCUAACCCACUAAUACAUUUCAGAGGAGCAGACCACAAAAGCGGACCUGCAAACCCCCACAUC